rnacentral:rRNA from 1 species
GUUAUUGAUGAGUUAUUGGAUGAGUUGUCUGGAGCCUGUUGGUUUUCCAAGUUGGACCUUCGAGCAGGUUAUCAUCAGAUCAGAUUGGCCCCUGGGGAAGAACACAAAACAGCGUUUCAGACACAUUUUGGCCAUUUUGAAUUUCUGGUGUUGUCCUUUGGUCUUACUGGAGGACCUAAUACAUUCAAUUUUGCCUUGAAUGAGACACUGUCACCCUGUGUCAGGAAAUUUGUGUUGCUUUUCUUUGAUGAUAUCCUCAUAUUCGGUGCUUCUUAUGCACUGCACUUACAGCAUUUGGAAGAAGUGUUGAAACUGCUCUUACAACAUCAGUGGCAAGUGAAACUAUCAAAAUGUGCUUUUGCACAA